AGCUUUAAAAUGUUAAUUGUUAAUUUACUUUUGUUCUUAAAAUUUAUAUGUUUCUUUUUUGCCAGAAAUAUUGUUUUAAUUAAAAUUAUAACAUUUUUUUCCAAUUUUUACUUAAUAUUAAUGCAUUGAGUUUUAUCUGCUAUCUAAAUUAUUUAUUUGAAUAUAUAUUGAUCUAUUUGGAAUAACUUAAUUUUAGGAUAUCUAUAUGUAAUUGCUGUAAACUUUUUGAAUAAUGCUUUUUAUUUCUUUGAAUAUUUAUACAAUAGAAUUGACGUUUAUUUGAAUCAUCAAUCGUUGGAUUCUGCUGGAUUCUUCGGUAUUCUAUAAUUAUUACGAUUUUAUCUCGACUAAUUGUCAUGUGUAAUAGCAUUGUACAUUACAUUACAAUAGCAUGAGGUUGAUAAUCAUCUUGUCUCACGCAUCUAGCAGCUGACGGUGCCGUUAUCGGCAAACCUCAAUACGUUUAAACGCCAUAUCCGCGUGUGCAAGAUUCUCACCCUAAAUUUUAUCAUGUCACGCGAUUUUCGUAUCUUUGAUGGCGGUUUAAAGAAUACGUCUCAAUGUACGCCGGAGUGGAAUACGUGAGCAGCGAAGCAAACAGAAGCUACGUGUUUCGAACGUAGAUGAAGAUAAUGAUACUGUUCAAAUUAUGAAUUUAUGAGAGGAAUUACUCACAUACUUGUUCACGAGUAAAAAAGGAAAUUUUGUAUCAACAAUUUACAAAAUACAAAAAUGAUCGAUUAUAUUGUCAGAGGCUUUACUGAAAUUAGUGUUUUAAUACUGAAUUUAAUACUGAACACUCCUUUAUUUCCCGUACAAUUAUCACAUAAUACUUGUAAAAUCUAUACAUGUAUGUAGAUACGAAGAGUGAGAAUUAAUUUCAUUAGAAUUAAUUUCAGAAGUGGUAAAAAUUAUAAUUUGGCAUAAAUUUACAUAAGAAAAUUAUUCAAUAAGAGAGGAAAAUGUCUGAAUGUAAAAGUUUUUAAAUAAAAUACUUUCGCAUAGAAUCUCCGACCACGUUGAGAAAGUUUGGUUUCCAACUACAUCGAUUCGAUCUCCCCACUUGAUAGUCGAGUGACAGCGCGCGAGGCUAAUAUACCGCAUCGCGAAACCGGGAGUUGCGUGCAGGCUCCUUAAAAUUCAACUGAAAAGUCUCUGCAAAGCUAUAUGCAAGAUUUUCUUUUUUGGUCCUACUUCGGUAGAGUGACACAGGAUGCAUCUCCGAUAAGAAUCCUCUGUGUGCGCAAGAGUGUGCCUCUUGUGUGCUUUUAGCGAGCUUGAAAACUCGUCGAUCCGUGUCCCUACACAGAUGAGAAAUAGACUCCAAGAAGUUGAUGCUCUAUUUCUAUGAUUUGCCUCGAUGCCGACUUUUCGUUAUCGAGGCAUGCGCGCUUCGCGCCUCGCGUUUGUGCGCGUCUAUAAUUAAUCAAAUCGCGAUAAUAAUCGCAUCAGAGCAUUUCGCGAGCAGGUAGAGAGCAGGUUAAAUUGAAUGAAAAAUCUCCUUUGUUUGAUAAGUUGUUAAAUAAUUAUUUAAAAAUUAAUUAAUUAAAAUCCGCUAAUUAGCGGCAUAUGUUAUUCGUGCAAUUCGGCGACAAGAAACAGUCCAGAGCUUACGUGUGUCACAGCCACACACAGUUAGGAGAGAGCGACGAGAUAUUUCGAGUGUACUUAACGAAUGGCACAAUUGUAACUACAUGCCGCUCCAGUUUUCGUCGCGUGUAUAUUCGCCAGAAACAAAAAUAUUCACUUUUGUUACAUUUGCACGUCACCGGAAUAAGUUCUCGAGGUAAAUCGUGAAAAUACGGUAUCAACUUUUCAGAGUUUACUUCUCAACCGUGUUGAGACUCAACGUCAACCCUCCCUUCAUCGAUGAGAGUAGCCUAUGCUGAAGAGUAGGGAAGACCGGGGCUAAAUGACACCAAGGGCUUCUUGGCAAUGUAAUUUUUUUUUAGUAUUUAUCUUGAAACGAACAGUAAAUAAAAAAAUCGCGAAACAUUCUUUUAGAAUACAGAUACCUUUCUCUAAGUUUUACUAAAAUCGGAAUAAUAUUACAUUUUUAAAAAAUAAAAAACCAAUUUAACAGUAGCAAAGUAAAUUUUUGAGACUCUCAAAAUUUUAUAUUAACAUUUUUUAACGUCAAUGUAUAAAGUUGAGCAACGUGUUACUAAUUAGAGUGAAGUUUUUUUGCAAACGUAUGAUAUACUAUUUUGAUUGAUAAACGCAAUUUUAAUUCAUAAAAUGAUUGAAAUGAAGCAGAUGAGAGGUCGAAGUCAGUUGGCUCAUAUUCAACUCCGCGUCACGCCGUGGCAUUGAUUAUUAUACGUGCAGAUUACAUGCAUUUUAUACGGAGCCCUCUUGUCCCACUACGCUACUGGGGCCCGGUUUUUCAUUAUCUAGUUAUCUUAUGAUUAAGCUUAGAUUUAAGUUUUAGCCAAUAAGCUUCACCUAUGUCAUCGUCAUGGAUCAAGUCCAUUGGAUAAAACAUCAAGUAAAAUUUAAUCAGUUAAUUAGAUAAUGAAAAACCGAGCCUAGGCCCUACUAAUCAACUGACCCCGAUAUUGGGGCAAAAUGGCCACGUUGUUGCACGUUUAUAUUUUGGUUAUUAUAAAAUAAAACGUACGACCAACAAGAUCAUAUUAGGCAUUAACAUAUGGAGAAAGGUUGCCUCUAUCACGUUUGUAUAGGCAAUUACAACAAUUAAUUGUUUGAGAAGUUCUAGCUUUAAAAUUCUAAAAUAUGGGGCGUUUAGCCCCGAUCUCCCCUAAACAUUUAAUUCAUAAAAUUAUUUCGCCAAAUCGUCCGCGAAUACACUCUGAUUUACUGAUAUUAAUUAAUUAAUUUUUCAUUAAUUACUUGCAACUUUGCAAAACUUUGCAAGCAACUCUUGUGCUCAGUUUAAUCCGCUUUAUCCGCCCACGAGAGGCGAUUAUUUAUCUACGCCCUUGUAUUAAAAUUAUUACAUUUUGCUGUUACAAAGAUUAUGAUAAAUUGUAAUUGAUGCAAGUUAAAUUAAUUCUCUCGUAUAAUUUUUAUUUUUCUCAAUUAUUAACUUAUUUAUGUUAUAUAGACUGUAUAAAAUGGUCUAACUCUAGAAUAUUUGAGAGUAGUAGAUUAGGGUAAUUCAGUUAAUUAUAAAAUAAAUUGAUAAACCAAGUAAUAAAAUAUAAUUUUGUCCGAGCCCUAAUUUAAAUCUUGUAUGAUAAAUUUGAGAAAAUUCUUCAAAUUUUAAUCUUGCUCUUCAAGAAUUUGUUUUCAACAUAUUUCAUAUGGAAAAUAAGUCACAAAUAAACAUAUAAACAAUGGGUUUUUAUUUUUUUAAUUUCUAAUAUAGUGCAAUGUUCAGUUGAUGAGAAACAAGGGGUUGCAUCGUGCUUUUGGAAGCGUCUGUGCCGGUAUUAGCAACCAUACUCGUAUUUGACACUUUCAUUGCUAGAGAGUAAAAUCUAAUAUAGUAAAAUAAUUUUAGGGAUAAUAUAAAAAAUUUAGUCCAACUGCAUAAUAAUCUGUUUCAACUCUUGAGAAAUCUACUUUAGAGACGUUAUUAAAAGACACUCUUUGUGUUAAAUCGUUGUCAUUAAAGUAUUAUUCAGAGAAUACAAGGGAGAAAAACUAGUUUGCGACCGUGGUUGACAUCAACGUGACGUCAACCACGAAUCGCACUAGAAGUUAAUGCGAUUUCCAAACAAGCGUAACAUUAGCUGACUCUUUCAAACUUAGGCCUCUGAGAAUCCUCAGUGAACUUUUGUUCCGUAAUGUAACUUUGUCUAUAACACGUGAUAGAUAUCCGAUAAAAAUUUCUAGGUGUCCAUAACGCGCUUCAUUGCACGCGCGUGUGAGACUCAAGUCUCUUUCUUUCGCUGAGAAUAACUCGCAACUCGGAAUAUGUGACAACGGAAUAUCGGUUCCGCGAGAUGGAGAAAUGCCUUUUUAGAUUUUUACUUUGAUCUCUGCCCACCAAGUUUUUAAGUUUUUAUAUGCACAUGCGUGAGGCAGUUUCAAGGUGCGAGUGUUGUUCGAAUCAGAUGAAAACUUGUUAGCGGAAUCAAGCACGUAGGAGAAGAUCGAGAAGAUGAGGGUGAUGAGGGAAUCUUUAAAGGAGAUGGGAUAGUUGCCAAGAUGCUAGUGAACGAGUCGACAUUGUGACUCCGAAGCUCACUCACAGAAGUCAAUCGAUUCAAUUUAAUUCCGCUGCUGCAGCUCUAACGAUUUAACGGAUUAAUUGUAACUCAUCGUUUGCCAAGUUUUUUUCUCUUUUAAUUCGAAUGGUUUUAUUUCGUAAUAUUUAAAAAAGUGCAGUUUGUUGCACAAUUAGGUUUGCGCGUAUGCGUUUCUUGUCGAUUGAAAUUUAUAUAAAUUUCAUUGUAAUUACUAUUUAGUCGUAUUAAUAGUAUAACUUAUUCUCAAGUAUACUCGUAGAUGCAAUUUAAGGAUAGUGUAUGCAAGGUUGUAUACACAUACGUGUGUGCGCACGUAUAAUUCAUUUUCGGUACCAAUAUUUUGUCGAGAAAUCUGUUUAUUUAUUUAAUUAUUUCAUCAACUGCGAUUAUUGUGUAAAUGUAAAGAUAUAAAUAUAAAUUAGUCACAAAAUUAUUACAUUACACAAAUUGUAUUUUAGUUUCCAUUCAUCUGCACCAAAAACUAUUUUAUUCAUGAACAAGUUCUCACUAAUUAUCAGAUAUUUAUUCUCGUAUUAUUCAUUUGUAUUCACACGAGUUCGCGUAAUGUCCAUUAAUCAUUUAACGUGAAAAUAUAUUCGAUGUUUGAUUAACAUUGAUCCCUUUGAUAAUUGUUGCUCGCCAUAAUGCACAGUUGGUUUAUAACAUUUUAUUAUAUAAAGAAUAGUGAUGAAUGAUUUUUGAUAGUUUGAUAAAAAAAAUUAACAAGUUCUUAAUAACAAAUUUUUUUAAAUUUACAUUAAAAAAAUUUUUUUUUAAUUUAUCCAUUUUCAACGCACGCAUUGUUAUAAUUAAUGUUUACUAGACAGUAAUUAGAGGGGUGUCUAGGAAAACUCAUGAAACAUCAGUCGUCAUCAUCGUCGAGGAACUACUUUACUGGUACGUCAUCUUGUCGUUUUGCAUCAUGAUAAUCGAAACAUCUUAACUCGCAUAAUCUCUUGUAAUUUCGCUAAUAAUAACAAACGAGAUCACAUGUAAAUAAAGUCCUAUAAAUAGUUAAUAAACACAUGCUCUCACGCGCGCAUGCACGCGUAAAAAACAUGAACAAUUUCAGUUUUGCGAGUGUGAGGAACCUUUAAACUUUUUUUAAGAGUACAAUCUUUUUUAUCGGGAUUUUUUCUUAACACUAACGUAAUAUAGUGAACAACGAUAUCAACAUGAUUUUUGUAAAACAACUUUUGUAAAGCGAAUAUUAUAUAUUCUUUCUGUUUCUUCCUUUUAUUGUUUGUGGUCAGAGUCAAAAUUCGCGUAUCUCUGACAGAACUGGAGUGAAAGAAUUUCAGGAGGAUGGAACAUUUUCAACAUUUUCAAUUCCGAAACCGUUUAGGCGUGAUCAAGGUCAGCUUUGUGCCAUAAACGUCACAGUUAUUGGAAAACACGCGAACACGUUACGCUUUACAGUAGAUUUCUCUUGCUCUAAGCGAAAUCGUUGAUUUGGUCGCAGUCACGAAACAUGAGUGCAUUGCACGAAUGUAUCUACCCCUUCAAGCCCGUUGCCCGCAUGCAUUCCAUGUAUUUUAUACUCGCGAUCGUGACGUCAGCCCUUUUGCAUUACGCGUGCAUAAAGCGCUUUUAGAAAAUAUGAGUAAAGUAUAAGGAGAAUAAAGUUUUGUCUUGACAUCCUUGCAAAAGAAUGUAUAAAUCUUUCACGAAAAAGAAAAUUUUAUUCAAAUUGUCUGGCAAUAUCAAUUAUAAAAUUGGACUCAUCUUUUUUGCAAUGUAUCGUAACAUAUAUUAUAGAUAAAAUCAAAAUUUUAUAUAGAAAAAUAAAAGCGUUACUAAAAUGCAUAUAUUAUAGUUUCUCUCCCCCUUUCCCUUCUUCCCCCCCUCACUCACUCUUUCUCUCUCUCUACACACACACACACACACACACACACACACACACACACACAGUCAUUCCGCGCAUUACUCUUUGUCUUAUAAUAGUUGAUAUUAAUCUGACCAAAGCGUAAAAUCAAUUUAGCAGCAGUCAUAGUUUGAUAACAGUAUCGAAGUUGAAUAAUUACAUUUAGUGUUCUAAUUUUGCAUUUUAUUGAUAGAAAUAAUUUUUGCACCGUAAUUAAAUUGUCAAACAUGUCUGUGAUUUUAUUCUUUUAUUAAAUUAUAUUAUUAUUAUGCGCGUGCAUACAUCUUAUUUAUUUCUAUUAUAAAUAUUGAUUUCAUUGAACAAUAGUAGUUUAUUUGAUAGAAUUGUAUUGUUUUAUAAUAACUCUAGCAGUUUUGAUAAAACAUACUUGGUUAUCUUACGAUUAUUCUGAAAUAUAAGUGACAUUUUAUGUGAUUACUGGUAUGGUAUUUGUGAGACAAGUUUUUAAACGACUGUUAGUAUAUUUUAAAUGAUUGUUCCAAGCAUGCUGAAGGGACUAAUUUCCCAGAAACUUUUCCUUAUUGCCUGUUUGUAAAACAGUUAAAAGGGAAAAAUGUCUUUUAACAAUUGUCUGCAGCUGUUGCGUAUUGGCAUAUUAGCGCAACUAAAAAGUGGCGGAACACUGAACGAACAAGUCCACAAAAGCAGUGAUUAAAAUAACCAAUUUGUUAAACACCUAAUAACAAAGAUAAUACGGGGUAGCCGUAAUACUCCUUUCUCCUCUAUUUAUAGUUUUUUCUGAUUCUUAAUAUUAUAUAAUUUUAUAUAUAUUUAAUCUUAAUUGGAUUUAUUUUCUACUGAAUACGAUAGAAACAUGUUAUUAUAGAAUGUAACAUAAUUCUACUGAUUAAAAUAAUUGUUUCGAUUUUAGCAAUUUCUUAUAGAAGAACUUACCGUUUAAACGCUAAUUUAUAAUACACAGGCAAGUUUUGAGAACAUUUUUAAGAAAAUCUGUAUGCCUCAUGAGUAAAGUUUCUACUUGGGAAACUACUCGAGGCAUCGUAUGAUGAUAUCUUAAACUUAAAAAGCGUCCGUUAUCAAAGUUGUGAUACCAAAAGAAUAUUAAAAGAACUGUAUUACGGUAAAUUUAGUUUUUUGCAUCAUAUUGCUAUAAAACUUCAACAUUCUGUGUUAGGAAAAGAAAGAUAUAUUAUUACAUUAUUUUUGCUUAUGAUUUUAAAUAUUUUUGUAUUUAUACUUACUAUUGUAAUAUAACUGUGCUUAUAUUCGAUGGAUACGUAGAUUUAAUUUUUAUUAUAAUAGGUUAAUUUUUUAAUUUUUUAAUUUUAUUUUUGUGGCGGCUCGUAUUACUACUUCUGUUCCUCUUCCAAAUGCCAAUGUUGCAACAAUUAUAUUUCUAUAAACUUUUGCUGUAUGAGUAUAGUAUUUGUUACAAAUGUUUACUUUUAGCAUAUUAUUUUUUAGUAAUUAUUUUCUAAAAUUUUUGCAAUUAAUUUUCUCGUUCAUUAAAAACUGCAACGUCAUUGAAAAUACUUAAUUAUCUUUAAAUUAUGACAUAAUGUAAAUCUGGAAAAAUACGAAACAAUGUUACGAGGUCUGUUUUUGCUAUGUUCGGGAAAAAUAAAACAAACAUCAUUUCUUAUAGUUUUUGAGACGAUGGUGUUAUUUAAAAUUACAUUGCAUUGUGAAAAUACGUAGAAAACAGCGUUUAAAUCGGGAAAAUGUGUGACAUUGCAAUUAUACGCGAGAUAGGACGUUAACGCUACAGAUAUCGAUGGUACAUAGUGUCAUUCAUCAUGUUUUGACGUUAAAAAUACAGAAUAUUUAAUUGAAAUAUUAUAUCUAGAAGCAAAAAUAUCAGACGCAAAGAAAAGUUUUCGUAUCCUGGUACGUGGUGGGGAAAGCCAGCUGUGUAAAGCUGGUCCUCCAAUCAGCCAAUACUCAAAAUUUAAUAAUGAUUAUUACUAUCCGAUUGGUGGUAUUUGCUAGUCUAAUCUUGACGAUUGGUAGUCGAAAUUGCAAUUAAUACUACGAAAAAAGACAUUGCGUGAAAUUGGUCUCCCUUUUAUAAAAUUCGGCUUUCCAGCUUGCUUAAGUAAUUAUAUUCGUAAGCAUUCGUUUGGUGAUUGGCUAGUCCAUUCCCGAUAAUCCCGAUAGUCAAAACUGUAAUUAAUAAUACGAAAAAAAGGCAUAUUCGAUUCGAUUCGAUUCGAUCUCAUUCACAAAUGCUUCAUUCGCGCCGCACUGUUAGUCUGCACACAUUUAUCGCAAUGCAAUAUUUUAAAAAUUUUGACGUGCUGCACGGAAUAUUCUCUCUCUUUUAUUCCGUAUAUCUAACCUUGCUAGAUUCAUACUAGGUGUGAUCCAUUUAUUUAUCACAUCUACCUUUAUCUGUUUCGCCUACUUUCACCAUGUCAUAAAUUUGCACUCCAAAGCGAUGGUAUCGUAAAGCAGCUUUUUUAACAUUUAUAUUUAUUUAUUUUAUUCGCAAAAAAAACAAGAAGUAAUGCGUACUUUAUUUAUACAAUUUGUGAUUAUAUGAUUCGUCAACAUUGAUUUGAACGGUAUAUAAGUGCACAUCUGCAUUGCUCUUUCGUCAUGAAGUAAAAUAUUCAAUUUUUAUGAAAAAAAUAGCUUUCUGCUUUUUAUGGAUAAAAAUUUAUAUAAUUUUUACACUUUAAUUACAUUUUUAUAUGAUAUAAAUUACAAAGAGAUAAUGGCUUUAAUGGAUAAGUAUUGUAUAAUUGCCAAUGCAAGCUUUCACGAUUUUUAGAGCGUACAAACAUAAAAAAGAAAUAAUUUUUUUAUAUAAAGUACAUCUUAAAAAACGUUUAAUAUCAAAAAUGAUAUACAUAAAAAAAAAACAUACAUAUACACAGCAACACAAGCGUUAAAUUUACAAAACGACACUGGAUCUUCGUGAUUCUAUUUAUUUUAAUUUGAUUCGCUAGUUGCGCUUUAUGAGUUUUCUUAAGUUUCUAUUAGUUUACAUAUACUAAUUUGUGUAAUCAAGACCAGAGAUUUACUAGGUGGAGAUUAUUAUUUUUCAUUUUUGCAUCGCUAUGACAUUACUUACUCUCUGUAAACUUUCACUGCACUGUUUCUUCGCUCGUUCUCUCUAAGUUUUAUUUUUAUUAUUUUUUCUUUUUUGCUGUAGUUUUAAUUAUUAAUUUUGUUCUUAGAUAAUCUUUCUUAAAAAAAAAAAAAAAAAGUUUAAAGAUAUAAAUACAAAAAAAAAUGUUUUUUAUCAGAUGAUACAGUUUUUAUAAUUUAUAUUUUGUGAUAAUUAACGUUUUUACAACAAUCCAAAGGAAGUGUCUGAGAAAUUGGGUCCCAAAAUUGGCAGAAAUAGCAACACUCAGACAUAGCUCCAUAGUGAAGAAUUAAUUAUAAAAUAAAUUAAUAAAUUAAAUAAUAAAAUAUAUUUAUAUCGAUUGAGAAAUACUGCUGGAUGUGAUAUUAAUAUCGAGCUGAUCAGUGUUUCUUUUAUUUUAGCUAUAUCUCGAAAACGUAGAAUCAAACCAAAAUGGGGCAAACUGCAUAUGUUAAAGCUAAAAGUUGAUACUUUUGCUUGGCUUUAAUGAAUUUUGGAAAAAGUUUAGUGCCGGUGCUACAAUGUUUUGAAAAUUCUAUUGUAGAAAUCAUCACUUUUCAUCGAUCUCUUUCGAUGACAUUUUUUUGAAAAUUGUGACGUGAUAACCAACUUUGGCUGUCGGAUUCGUUUUCAGCGACUAAAAAUUCAUCGGAAAACACUUUGUUUAUUUAGGUUUUACAAAAAGUCUAUUUUUGUAUAAUUUUGUUAUUAAUAAAUCUGUAACGUUUGACUUAUAUUUCGGAUUUUUAAGUGUUAAGGGAGUAUUUUUGAUUUACGGUUUUAAAAAAUUAAUUUUUUUUGCAUUUUUGUAUAUUUUCUAAAGUUGUUCAAACCUUUUAAAAUAUAUUCUCACAACAUCAGUUUUGAGAUCCCAACUUAUCUGGAACUCGUCUAGAAAAUAAAAAACGUAAUUAAAUGUAAUUUUUUUUAAAUGGCAUUUUUUAAAAUAGUUCCCAUGAUAAUUCGUAUAAUUUUAAUUUGAUCAAUUUGAAAUUUUUUAAUGUUUGUAACACUUUCCUGUACGCUGCACAACAAUUCUGUUUUAAAACCACAUUACAAGGAAAAUAUAAAAGAAAACAAUAUAGUUUUAGAAAACCAGAAAUAUUACAAAAUGCUCUAAUAAUAUCAAUACAUACUCACUAUUGUUUCAACUAUACAAUUUGUAAGAGAAAAUCGUAUAAAUUUUAUUUUUGUUUUUCAAGAAUUUGUUUUUAGCAGAUUAUACAUAGCCAUAAAUGUAUGCGUGGGUUCUUAUUUUCUGGUUUAUCAAAGAUCAUAUUUUUAUCAGUAUUAAUACAGUGCAAUAUUUAGUUUUCGAGAAAUACGGAGGUGCUUUAGGAGAUAUCGCUAGGAAGAGAGAUUGCAGCCAUUAUCAUCUAACUUUCGAUGUAUUUGAUUAUUCUUUCACAUUGAAGAGGAUCCAAAUUCAGGUUCGAAACGUCUGUAUACUUCAUUAAUACAAUUUAUUUAUAACUUACAUGGAAUAGUUGUUUUUUUUUAUGUUUGUACGUUCUAAUAAUUGCAAAGGUUCGUAAUGGUAUAAGUACUUAUUUAUUAUAUUUAUCAAUUGUAUUUUUAUACGUAUCGGGAAUUUUAAGCACGCCAUUUUCAAAAUUUUAAAUCAAAAUGUUAUAUGCGCUCACACACACACACACACACACACACACACACACACACACACACACACACACACGCGCGCGCAUAUACAUACGCACGCACGCACGCACGUAUACCUUUUUGCCACUGAGUUGACAUAUUAUAACUAUAUUCGAUUUUCAUGCAGAGUUUCAGUGCGGUGGAUGCAUCAAUUAGUUUGUUUACGUUAAUCGACCUUUGAUGCUCAUAGUAAUUUUUUACAGCUUUAAUUAACUCAAAACGCUUUUGAAAGUGGUAAUUAAAAUUUUGUAAACAAUACUUGAGGAUAUUUACUGAUAUUUAUUGAGUUUUUGACCAAAAAAUUGCAUACUAUUAUCGAUGUGUGAGACGUUUAAUUCCAUAAAUUGUUUAAUUCCAUGAAUUGUUCCACGAAUGAUGUUAAAAUAGUAUCCCUUAUUGACUGUUAGAUCGGGCGACAAAAAGAAAUUUAGAUUUUAGUUCAACCGCUUUGUUUAAAUUUUAAAUAAAUAAUCUCGGGUAUUUUUUGAGCAGAAGAUACGCAUAAACCUGGAGUUUAGGGGGAUAUAAUUUGCAGGCAUCUAGAAUCGGCCCCUCCUUGCUUUCCUCCCUUUUUUUUUGUUAAAUUGCUCAUUAUACAUAUCUAUACAUAUAUAAAUAGAGUUAGUCGCUCUUUGUUUAAAGCUUUCUUUGUAUGUUAGGAUUGGUAAAAAUUUUUAACUUUGCACGGGGUUGUGGUAAUGCGUUCUGUUACGUCAGCUCAUUGUUGUAUAUAUUUGCUGAUAUUAUUCAAUAUAACUAAUUUUCCAUAAAAUUUGAUAUAUUUUGUCGAUAAUAUUUUUAGCAAGCAAAUUUGUUUUUAACAGACUUAAUUUGAUUGAGUAUAUUUAAUAAAACCCAAUGACUACAUAAAUAGUCUUUAUUUGAUGAAUGUGUCGUUUUCAAAAUAUAUACCUAAUGUGAGAGACUGAUGUAUAAAAUUGUUAUUUUCUAUAUACUCGUGCAGUUAGGAAAUUGAAUGAUAUAAUAUAACAAAUCAUAAAAUAAUGUAUAUUUAAUACAUUUUUUGAAAUGUUAUCUGUUGCAGCAGAUUUUUAUAUGACACAUAUAAUAUGUAUAUCUUUUAAUAGUUUGGGCAUAAAGCGCACGUUUUAAUUAUAAAUUAUUAUAAAGAUUAUUACGGUAAAUUACGGAAAAUUACGGUAAAUUUUAUAAAUGAGUCUUAUUUUAUGCUGGAUUUCAUUUAGAGUUGAGGUAUCUUAUACACAAUUACGCUUUUCGUUAUUUGUCUGUCUAAACAAAAGCUUGAUAGUAUAGUGCAGAAAGAUUUCUGUAAUAUUGCAGAGGUAAGAUAUUGAAACAUUGAAAAAGUUACAUUUACAUUGCGUAAUGUCUCUAAGUAAUGUCUAUACAAGGUAGUAGCAAUGUCCAAAUAUUUGCUUCGAUCUGCGAGAAAUAUUUUUGAAAUAUUAGAAAAAUCUUUCUGAAAGACUUUCGGUGAGAUUGAUGACUUAUUUGGUUUUAUUUCCACCUAUUGCAGAAAUAUUAAAAAAAGAAAUGUAUACAUGUACACAUGUAUGUAUAUGUAUAUACAACAUAUGCGGGAGUAAAUGUUGGCUACAUUAUUGGCUACUUUUUACGAGUGUUGAAAAAGUUUAUAUCUGUUCCAGAAUUCUUUAUAUAGUUAAAUUCUCAAAUAUUCCAAGAUUUUUUAUUUUAAAAUUUGCACUACAUUUCCCAACUGUAUAGUAAAUGUUCAUAAUUACACUGGGUAACAAAUUACAAUUUUUUUUUAGAUCACAAACUAGAUAGGGUGAUUCUUAUAGAUUUUUUUAUUACUGAAAACGCUGUGUCACCUCAUAUAUUUAAAAAAAUUAGAUUUAAAGUUGCCAAAAAUGGCACUUUUCAGCAUGUUUGAGCUAAAAUAGCUCAAAGAUGUGAUGUAAUACAAUACAAUUUCAUUUACGGAUUUGUUUUCAACAAUCUAAAAUCUAUAAAAUUCACGUAUUUUAUUAAUGGCAUUAUGUAAAUUAAAAUUUAUAAUUAUAAUUAAAAGAUAGGAAAAAUAAUCUCCGUUUACGCAAUUUAAAUACUCACCUGCAAUUACGAUUUCUCGGAUCGCCGAUUACGAACGUAUGGCCAAAAUUGUCAAAUAUAAUUGCUUGAAAAAUACUUGUUUGAAUAAUAUACAAAAAACUUGAUUUAAUAAAUACUGCAUCAUUGUUCCGUCAUUCUAUUUGUAAAAUAAUGGUUAUUUACAUUUGAUAUAUUACAUAUUAUAAUUGGCAUGUUUAUAAAAAAAGUUGAUAAUUUAAUGUAAUAGCAUACUAUAGCAAAGGGCUAACGAUCACAACAUAUAUUAUUUUACUCAACUUACACACUUCCUAUAACAUAAUGAAUAAUAACACAAGCGGUUAAACAAUUUAUUUAUCACAAUUACAUAAAUGUGCCACGUUAAUGAAAAUAUAUAACGUGACUCGGCGUAUAAUUACGAUUGUAAAUUUUUCAUCAGAGAGAACAUAUAUUUAUAUGUUUAUUAAACUUGAUAAUCAUUCGUGCCACAGUCUUAUGGGAAUCACCUAUCGUUCUCCAUUAUAUUUACAAAUUUUUACAUUCUCUCUUGCUAAUCUCUGUGUUUCGAACCAAUUUUUUGUGUCUUAUAUCGCGCCAUCAUUACACCUGCUGCUUUUCGAGGCGGCAGCAUAAAAAAUCGGCUGACAAAAAUAUUUAUAUGCAAAUUUGUUUCGUAUACAUAAAUAAUUUUAUUAAUAUAUGCACACGUAUACAUAUAGAUAUACAGUGGUGCAGAGGCUUUAAUUUACAAAAUAUUUACACGGCAAGAAUUUUGUCCAUUUAUCGACAUGUAUGGCACUGAGAAACACACUUUUAUUUAAAAAAUUUUUAAUUAAAAGUCUUUACUUUUGCCAGACGGUUUUUAUGUUCGUAUGCCGGAAAAGCAAGUGUAAUAUUGACGCGAUGUAAAACACAAAAAUUUGAUUCAAAGAACAAAAUUUUCAAAUACCCAAGUUUGUUUCGGUAUAUAAUCGGCAGAAAGAUGGCUGGGCUAUAGUUAUUCACGUCGCAGUCUUAACUAUAAGACUGCGACGUGAAUAACUAUAUUAUUAUGAUUUAACAUACAUACGUAUAAUUAUUUUCUGUGAUUAAAAAUUUACACUCGUAAUCUGUAAUUAUGCUUCAUAAUAAAUGUCGUCCAAGUAGUUGUGUUCUUGUUAAAAGAAUGGUACACGUAUGUAAUUGUGAUAUAAAUAUAUUGUUUAACCGCUUAUAUUAUUCGUUAUAUGUUCUAGGAGGUAUUGUAUUUAGGUUGAGUGGAAUGAUACAUACUUUUGCUAUAAUAGAUAAUCAUUUUUGUAUAGAACAGGAUUGUCUCUUUCCCGAAUUACACCACGUAAAGGCUUAUAACUUUAAAAUUAUGAACAACAUUUUUAAGUGUUUUACAUCAUAAUUAAGUGCAAUAUAUUUCUUUUGCUAUAUAAUUUGUUGCAUUAUUAUAAUCUUUUUAAACAAGGAAUUUUGAUAAGUUUCGUGCACGAUUUAGGAAACAGGUCUCUGAAAUCGCAUCACAAGUUACCAAAAUCGCAUUGGUUCUCUAUUAUUUAUGGACUCUCCUUUAGUUCGUUCCGUUCCACGUAAAACUUUAUUCCGAUAAUAUCUCAAAAAUGCCUCCUUUUUUUUUUACAAAAAUACCGAAAAUCCUUUCUACUUCAUUCAGUCUUACUUUAUAAUCUCUAUACUUUUCGAAAGCACGCAGAUUCGUAGAGCCUAAACACCAUUUGUCGUAUUUUCUUUUGGCCAUUUUCCAUUUGUUAUAAAAAAACAACAGUUUAUGUAUAGCUAAAAUUAUCGGAUAAUAUCUCGGAACAUCGUGAUGCAAUUUAAAAAACUAGGGUAUUUUGUAAAAUUUUCUUUACCUAAUCUACAAACGUGAAAGAAAAGGAAACUAACUUUAUUAAUCUAAUUCUAACGUAAAAGUAUUGUGAUCAUUGCGAAUGAUCAAAACCUAGGCCAUUCACCUAAUCUUUUUGCAAUUCAACUAUUAUACAAAGUGUGUUAAAAAAUAAUUACACUAUUGUGAUUUUUCUUUAAACAUAAGUAAAACAAAAUUUCUAUUGUGCCUAACGUCUCGAUGUAUAGUUUAAUAAAAAAUAAAACAUCGUAGCAUUGGUACUUGUAGUUUUCAAAUAAUCUUCUAGAGAAUAUAAAUGUACAGUAAUUGAACUUGUCGGCGAGGUAGCGCGAGCUUUAAGAGCCGGUGUGAUUUCAACAACUUUCCAUUAUAUGUUUUAUUGAAAUUUGCAAGCGUUAUGUGACAUUUUAUUGCCUCAUGUAAGUAUUGUUGAAGUUAUGAAUGAUAUAAUGUUUAGGAAAAAUAUGUUUUAAAAAACUUAAAGGAAAUUAUAUAAUAUAUGUACAAUGUAUAAUGAACAUGAACUUUUCUACUUUUAUAAAGAAAGAAUUUAUUAAAAGGAUUAUUUUUUAUUUUUUAUUGUUAUUUUUUAUAACAGAAUUCCACGCUUUUUAUAUGAUGCUCGUUAUGAUAACGUAUGUAACUUUGCGAAAAUAAAGAUAAUUGUCGACAUUAAUUAAUAAUUAUGCGUUAAAGAUUACCUAAAAUCUAUCGAUAGGAAGUCUAAUAUUGGAAUGUUGGAUAAAUUCCAUCAAUAAUUCAUUUUAUCAAAUUUUUAUUAGAACAGUCACACUUGAAAUUACUAUUGUUUUAAUUAAUUAUGUUUUAUUAAUAAGCCAUUUUUUCUCAUGACCAAUGUAAUGUGUUAUCGCACGUUCUUGGUCUUACCUUUAUUAAAAAUUUACUUAAUAGAGAUAUUUAGAAAAAAUGUAAUAAAGAAAGAAAAUCGUUUUGAUCAGUUGGCUAUAUAAUGACGAAAGUGCUCGUGGAAAGUCUUAUGUAUGACGUUCAGCGUUUCAAGAGAGAACUUUGAUUUAGAAACUCGUGAAAUCGACCUAGCUAGUAUAAGAGUCAGAUAAAGAUGGAUGUGGAAGAAUUUUCAACAUUCUUACACUUUCAUGUCGACGGUGAAAGAACUUUGUUAUAUGUACGUACAUAUACAUAUAUACAAGCGACACGACAUGUAUGAAUAGUUUUUUUAACUUUGUAGUUACAAUAUCGAUGCCAGUUGAAAAUUCUGCCGACUUUUUUGAUUACACGUUAAAAACUUUUUCAAGAACUUUGAAUGAGCUGUACUGACAUGUACUUAAUAAUUUUGCAAUAUUUGCAAAAUUUUCCAAUCGACAGUCAUAAUUAAUCUAUACAUAUAUAAAACAUAGAUUAUGCAACGUAAUAUUUACUUCUAUAAUAUUGAUAUAUUAUAUCUGUAGACUUAAAAUAUUUUAUAUAUAAAAUUAAUUAUCUUAAAAUUGCUACCUUUUAAAAUUAAAAAAAAAAAUUUAUUUUUUUGCUCGCUAUAAGUAAAUAAAAACUAUUAGAUUCUUGGGUAUAUUGAUUUUAUCCUCAUUUUCUGCAUAUUAUUCCGAUUACGAGUAAUAAUGCAGUGUUGUUAAGUAUUUGUUAAUCAGACGACGUCUGAUUAACGGUACUGCAUUGCUGCUCGCAAUAGUAUAAUAAUAAUAAAAUAACGCAACGAAUAUUCAUAUGUAUUAGCUUGAUGUACUUUAGGAUCUUUCUAUUUUCAACGAUAUUUUCGAUGUGGAAAAUACUGUAUAAAGGUAGAAACUUAGCAAUUCAAUCACAUCUUUUAAAUUCAACGCUCGCGUUCUACUAAAGAGAUUUCUCAAUUCGGAAUUAUUACAAGAUAUUUGGAGAUUAGAUAAUUCUCAAAUCAGUGUUACGUAAAUUUACUCGUAUCUUUUCAUUAUAAAUUUUUAAUGUUUAACGAUGUACAUGUAUGUAGGACUCUAAACCAGGUCUACGACAUGCAAUCGUUUUAUUUGUUAAUUAUAUAAAUAUAGAUAUUUUAAAUAAGUAUCAAUAGCAAGAGUAUCGUACGCGCACUCAAAAGAUGAAUUGUGUCUUAAGGAUUUAUUCCUUUUUCCAUGCUUCAGAAUUCUUUGUGCAUAUAAUUAUUAGCAGAUGUUCACGUAAUACUAUUUGUUGAUGGAAACUCCCUUUGCCCCUGUGAAAUGUUGCGCGCAGUUUAUUUCACGCACCAAUCACCUGUUGUGCGAGUUGCAGACUCUGGUACAGCAAACGACAUUUUCGUUAGAAAUUUUCAAACUUUUAUAAAUCUUGUUUGUCUUUUCGUGACAAGACUGCGACAUUGUUCAAGUAAACGCAUUGCUAAUUCAAAUUUCUAUAGUGAUGUCUGGAGUGACAAUUUACGUACAAUAUUUCUUAAAGAACAUUUCUGUUGUAGAAGAGAUUAAUUUACGGAAAUAAUUUUCUUUUUUUCGAUUUUUUAUUUAGAAAUCUUUAAAAAAGACUAUUGAAUUUUGUUGAAUUUACCAUAUAGUCUGCGUUAUGUGCAUCGAAAGAUAAUUUUUUUUUUACUUUUUUUUAAUAUAUUUGCGAUUAUUUUAGCACCAAAGCAUCCAAAAACACCAUUUUUUGGCACUUUUAAGUUUAAUUUUUUGAAAAAUGUAACGUGAUGGACAAUUUUACUUAUGGACUCGUUUUCACCGAGAAAAAAAUUGAUAAAAAAUACCUAGAGUGUGUAUAGCGCAUCACUCCCGUGAUAUUUAAUGGUUCCAAACCUUCUUUGCUGUGUGUGUGUGUGUGUGUGUGUGUGUGUGUGUGUGUGUAUGCGCAUGCAGACGCACAUAUACACGCACACGAUGUAUACAUAUGUGAGCAGGAACACAAGUGUUAAAUCGUGUAGGUAAACGUACAAGCGAAUCUCGUGAAAGAAACUUUCAAAUAUUUUAAAUUUACGAAUUCAAAAACUAGACAUAGAAAUGUUUUAAAAAUUGAAAUUUUUUUAUCGGGGAUGUAAGAGCUACGAUAUUAAACAAAUUUAAACGUGCGUUGCGUCGGGCUUUUUUUUAAAAGGUUUAAAAACAUUGAAAAGUUGUGCUACAUCUUUGACGUGAUCUCAGGAGAGUAUACAUGACGAUAAGAUUAAUGAAACAGUGGUUUCAUCGUAUAUUGGAUUUCUGAUUACUACUACAAGUUUGAGGGUACAAAUCAGAUUAAAUGACACUAUGCUUGUGAUCAUACUCAACGUUUGUAGAGUUUAUAUGAGUUUCUAUGCGGUCACAGGCAUGAACGGGGUGCAGUGCGCACGGUAUGUGGUUUGGCGAAUAUUUCCAAGAUCUAUGGUGUUAGAUGAAUAGGUAACGCAACAACGGGAUAUGUUCAAUUAUCUCUGGGACACUACGAUUGUUCCACUUUAUGUCGCUUAUGUUACACAAGGGUAACAAAUUGCGCAAUAGACGCCUGUUUUAUUGUCAUAAACUUUUAACGGGACACAAGUUUAUUGGAAAGGAAUACUGAGAUAUUUUAAAAGUGUACAUAUAAUUUCUAAUGCUGAGAAAUUUGCCCAUUUAUUGUUCAAAAGUUUACGUGAAACGUAAAUAUCUGUUAGACCGAGUAAAUAAAUGUAAAAUAGUUGUUACAUUGUUUGCGAUGUUACUUGAAAUAUCAAAAUAUUGUUUUUACAAACUUUAUCACAAAAAUGCCAAGCAACAAAUAUUUAAAUUAAGUUUAACAGUGUAUACAAAAGUGCCAAACUAUAUAAAGAAUAAUAUUGUGUGUAUGUGUGUGUGUGUGUGUGUGUGUGUGUGUGUGUGUGUUUGUGUGUGAAGAAACAGGUAAUAUUUUUGAAAAAUGUUUUUCAAAUUGUCAUGUACGUAUUUAUGUGCAACGUGCACAAAUGAAUUAUAUCUUCAAAGAACUUAUUGCUAGCCGUUUUAUAAUGCCCAGAGGUGACUUGUUGUGCUGUAAUUCAAGUUAAUCGUCGACAAUAAGUUUGGUCUGAAUAAUGUCUUUCGGUUAGGGAGCGAGAGAUAGAGUUUAGCAUGAGAGAUGUGGUUUAGAUACGAAUUAGAUCAGGGCUAAAUUCGAGUUAACCAAGAGCCUGCAUUUGAGUUAUAUCUGAAUUACAUCUGAAUUAUGUUUGGCUUACGUUUGAGGUAUAUCUGAGUUAUGCAUAAUAUACGGCCACAUUAGAUAUACUUGACGAUACGAUAAUGUGCAGCGUGGAAAAUGUAGCGUAACGUAAGUGCAUGAUAGCGCUUGUGACGAGUGUUAAACAGAAAAUACAAAAAUAUUGUAUUAUCUCGAUGUUAGAUUAUUUGGAUGGUUUUUUUAUCAAUGUACAUUCAAUAUAUGUACAUUAUAAGUUCUUAAUAUUGCAUCUUAACUUUUGAAUACCCCGAUCCCGUAAAAUACGUAAACACGUACAGUUCCGGCUUUGGGAGACUUUCUCAACUUUGAGAAUCUAUAACUUUGGUUUCAAUCAACUUUUUAACAAUUUUUCAAUAAUUUUCUUUAAAUAAAAGUUUAGAAUCUGAGAAAUAUGACUGCAUAAACGGCAUUGCCAAAAAAUGAUUUAUUGUUAUGUUAUAAAGAAAAAAACCAAAAAUGGACAAAAAUGAAAAAUUGUUCAAAAAUCCAUUUUUCCUUAAAAAAAAAGAAAUUAUAUUUUUGCAAGAAAAAACUUUGAAGGACUUUACAAUAAGGCGUUUUAAAGAAUCAUAUUUUGAAAUAAAAUUAUGUCACUAUCAUUUCUAUUGAAAAAUAUACUUAUGUAACAAAAAGCAAAUAUGAGAUAUUUUUGAUUAAGAUGUCUAAAAUUGAAAGUAUAUACGAGUAACAUACGCAAAAAGACUAAUUUGAAUGUGUUUUGUCCAGUUUUUUUUUUAAUAUAAGAUUACUCACAAAAAGUUUUACUCACACACAACGUUAGUCUCACAGACCCCAACAAAAUUUUGCUGCCGUGUCGUUUGAAUUCUAGUUGACCAAAAAAGUUGAUCAAGCAUAUCAUUCGAAAAAGGAAAUAUUAAACUUUUUUUACGUCCUGGUUCAAACUUCCUAUCUUGUCCUGUCUUCACACAGCAAACGUUCGAAUGAGGCCUCUCAGACCCCACUUGUAUGCUUAAGGGUUAAAUAAAAAGACAAUUGUAGUAUUUUUAGUAUGAGUUAUUUCAAUUAUAUAAGUAUCUUGAAUUUAGUCGAUUCUCUUCCGAAAACUAAUUACGGUAAUGCAAUAAUGACAAUCUUAAAUGUUCAUUUAUCUUUUAGCACAAAUUUCUCCAAAUGUUUCAUGGUUCGUAACAUUGGAAUGUUAAAGAUUCAAAGAGUAUAAUAUAUCUCACGACUUUUUUGACCUAAUUUCCAUCGACUGGAAGAGGUAAACGAUUCUGACGCACGCCAAUUCGUGGUGCCGCGUGUCCGCCGCAGACUUUCAUGAUAAAAUCGAUUCCCAAGCUUUCGGUCUUUCUUCCCCUUACCGUUUGUCCUUGUUUUCUUGCCUCCAUUUUCAUUUCGUCCUGCUCUCCUUUCGAUAUCAUUUCGACCAGACUAUUUCAGUCCGGUCACGCUUUAAUUGAUAAUGGAAAGCUGUCGUGUCACUUUCGCGCUUGCCCGAUCCACCUGCAAGCAAGCAGUUUUAUUUAUGCAAGGAUUUUACUACGGAGAUUAUUUUUAAUACUUGUGCAGCAUUAUAUAUAUAUAUAUAUAUAUAUAUAUAUUUGUGUCAUAAAAUAAUUUAAUAAAAUAUUUUUUUUCAGUAUUGAACGUUAAAUUAGUCUAAUUAAAUUAAUGUAAUUUCAAAAUAAUUUGUAACUGUUGCAUCCUAUUCUCAUUUAAUUCGGCUAAUUAAAAGAAAACAAUAAUGUAAGAUUUUUAGAAAUUUUAUUUUUAUAAUAGAUUUUUCCAACUUAUUUGUUAACAACAUAUAAUAUCUUUUAUUACUAUUAA